rnacentral:rRNA from 1 species
UACGUAGGCAGCAAGCGUUGUUCGGAGUUACUGGGCGUAAAGGGUGUGUAGGCGGUUGUUUAAGUUUGGUGUGAAAUCUCCCGGCUCAACUGGGAGGGUGCGCCGAAUACUGAAUGACUAGAGUGCGGGAGAGGUGAGUGGAAUUCCUGGUGUAGCGGUGAAAUGCGUAGAUAUCAGGAGGAACACCUGUGGCGAAAGCGGCUCACUGGACCAUAACUGACGCUGAUGCACGAAAGCUGGGGGAGCAAACAGG